UACGAAGGGGGCUAGCGUUGCUCGGAAUUACUGGGCGUAAAGGGCUCGUAGGCGGCCAACUAAGUCGGAUGUGAAAUCCCCAGGCUCAACCUGGGAACUGCAUCCGAUACUGGAUGGCUUGAAUCCGGGAGAGGGAUGCAAAAUUCCAGGUGUAGCGGUGAAAUGCGUAGAUAUCUGGAGGAAUACCGGUGGCGAAGGCGGCAUCCUGGACCGGCAUUGACGCUGAGGAGCGAAAGCUAGGGGAGCAAACGGG
rnacentral:rRNA from 1 species